UACAGAGGUCUCAAGCGUUGUUCGGAUUUAUUGGGCGUAAAGCGCUCGCAGGUGGUUCGUUGCGUCGUGCGUGAAAGACCCCGGCUCAACUGGGGGAUGUCGUGCGAUACGGGCGGACUGGAGGCCAGUAGGGGGAUGCGGAAUUCCGGGUGUAGUGGUGGAAUGCGUAGAGAUCCGGAGGAACACCAGCGGCGAAGGCGGCAUCCUGGACUGGUCCUGACACUCAGGAGCGAAAGCGUGGGGAGCGAUCCGG
rnacentral:rRNA from 1 species